rnacentral:pre_miRNA from 1 species
GAAGCAGCAUCAACAUCAAUAUGUUUGCCAUGCAGGUGAGAUGAUACCGUCACCGCUGCUCUCUUGUUUCCGACAGGGGCUUGGCUGCCGGAAUCAUUUCUCCCGCGUGAGAAACCUUUUGCUGUGUUUGUGUCGUGUUAU